AUCUGGCAACGUGUUAGUAAAUUCUGCGUGAAAUGAAGUGAAGUUAUACCUUUGUUUAUAUUUUUACUUUGGUGAAAUAUUGCUUGCGAUGUAUUCAGUUAUCUUCAAACAAGAGCAAGCCCAUGAUGAUAGCAUCUGGUGCUGUGCUUGGAGAAAAGGAGUGCAUGAUGGUCUCAACCAUAUUGUGACUGGGGGUGUUGAUGAUAUGGUUAAAUCUUGGAAAUGGGAUGAAGAAAAAUUAGAUCUUCGUCAUGUUUUUGAAGGCCAUGCUUUGGGUGUAGUGUCAGUAGACAUUGACCAUGAAGGUUCAGUUGCAGCAUCAAGUUCCUUAGACAGCCAUAUUCGUUUGUGGGAUCUGCAGACAGGUCAGCAAUUAAAGAGUAUUGAUGCUGGACCAGUUGAUGCUUGGACUGUUACAUUUUCGCCUGAUUCCAAAUAUAUAGCAACUGGCAGCCAUGCGGGCAAGAUAAACUUGUAUAAAACAGAAACUGGCAAAUUGGAAUCAUCCUUAGAUACCACUGGAAAAUUUACUUUAAGUAUUGCAUUUAGUCCAGAUGGGAAAUACCUUGCUAGUGGUGCAAUUGAUGGAAUUAUAAAAGUAUUUGACAUAGCUACGGGAAAACUAGUGCAUACCUUAGAAGAUUACCAUAAAAAUCAAAAGUUCCAUCAGAACCCCAACAGUGUGAAGGUCAUGCUAUGCCAAUACGUUCUUUAACAUUUUCCAAAGACUCUAUGAUGCUUCUAACAGCAUCAGAUGAUUGUCAUAUCAAAAUUUAUAAUGUACAACAUGCGAAUCUCAUUGGAACUUUAUCUGGACAUGGAUCUUGGGUUUUGCACAUCGAUUGUUCUCCAGACAAUACACAUUUUGUCUCAUGGUAAUUUUAUAAUUCCCUUACGAGAUUCUGUAUUCUUUGGAAAAUUGUU